GUCACCCUGUCUCAAAAUCAUGAUGUAAUAUCUGCUGAUCAAAACUGGAUUGCAAUAGGGACUUUGGGUGAUAAAGGAAAACAUGUGCCUGCCAUGCAAUGAUAUUUUACUGGCCCGUACUGGUAUUUGGAGAGAAGCUUUAUAAACAUACAGCUGACCAUUCAUGGAAAAAAGAAGCCCCUCCCCCAUUUUCAGUUUUGGAACAAGAGUCCGGUGAAGUGACUUCAUUGUAUUCCAGCUAUUGCUGGGAAUGAAAGAAAACAAUGCAAUCACAGGAUGAAAAUCCAACAGACACAGAAACAAGGUCAAGAAUACAACACACCCAGAAAAGAAAAAUUGGAGAAUCACCAGACUUUUGGCUGAGACAGCCAGAGCCCUACUCAAAAAUAAGUCCCAUUAGGUUCAUUGGGGCUUUACAUUUCAAUGGACAAUUCAAUAAUAAUAAUACUCAGAUGAUGGGAUUCUCUCUUGUAACAUAAGUAUCUUCUUUAAUAAAAAUAAUUGUAAUAUUUAAUAUUAUAAAGUCUUUUAAUUGCCUUUUGUUGCCAGCAUUUUAAUUUGAAGGACUGAUUAAUUUUAUUUGAAUAUUUUUAAUCUUGUUUGUGCCACUUUGAUAUAAUGCAAUAGAACAGGAUAUGAAUCAAUAUGAAUACAUUAGGGUAUAUAUUAUAUAAUGCAUCCCUUUGCUCUAAUCUCAAUCUCCUUCCUGUGUUUUCUUCCCAGCUGUCAAAAUGUUAAUGGUGAGUUUAUGUAAGAAAAGGCUAGUGCUUUUAUAUUAAGUUAUAAUGAAAAAUAUUGCCUAUAUUAGCAGUGUGAAUUAAUGAAUGAAUAAAGAAUGUAAUGGAUGCCUUAACUUACAGGAUCUGACUAGGAUCCAUUCAGUCCAUAUUCUGCUUUCACUGUGUCCAUCCAGAUGCUUCUAAGAAAAGCAAAGAUGGAAGGAAAAUCCCUGUCCUAUUUUCCAUCCCCAACACAAUAUAUCUGGAAAUAAAUAGCUUCUGAAGAUGGACAUUAUGAGUUGCUACAGCCAUAAAAUAUAUUGAAUGAUGAUCUGUACUCCCACAAUUGCAUUUAAUCCCAUUUGAACUGAAAUACACAUGUGCAGGCUGUUGGGGGCAAUAUGCUGAAAUUUGCAAACUGCUUAGAGAGGGCUGUAAAGAACUGUGAAGCAAUGUAUACAUCUAAGUGCUUACAAUAUAUUGUGAUUUGCUUUCCACCUUUGGAAUUGGAAAAA